UAGAAGGCUUGAGUUCAGUAUGGGAUGAAACUGAUAAUGAUUAGUGUGCGAUAAAAAGCCAGAAGUAUUUGUGUGCUUCGUUUGAAUUUUAUUUUGCUCAUUUUUCCAUCGGAAAUUGGCUAGGAACUUUUGGUUACAAUCUUAGGUUUCGUCAUCGGUGAACGGGAUGUGAAGUCGAGAAUUCCAUAAAUAUUACACAGGCAGAAAGCAUCAAUGGAGCCUGGGAGGUCAAGAUUGUUCAGAAAUAAUGUUUAGCAGCUGCAAGACGAGCCAACGUGAAUUCAAGUUAAACAAAAUUGUAUUACCAAAACAGUGUGACAAUGGAAUUCACGGAGCAACCGCAGCGCGAGAAAACAGGAUUCCUGGAACCCGAGCUAACUCGCGAACAACGGUGAAAAUUCCAAAAAUAUUCAGUACUAUCGUUUGGAGCGACCUACGGCUUUUUAUUGCAGUAAGCCCGAAACAGUUUAUUAUGCAAUAUAUUUUUUAAAUUUUCGAAAUAAUGUUGCUGACGGUAAUAAUUUUAUGUAUUUAGAUGCGUCUAGUCCUUGGACCCAAUGGGAAGUGUCGUCAGUGUUGGUUGAUUAUUCUGCACCUAUUUUGUAGAUCCAGUUUUGCUCAAAAGGUCAUCGGAAGACCACAAGUUGCCGGUAGUGAUAGUAUUAUAAUUGGUUUUAAGAGCAAGAAACCCACCGUCGUUUCACCCACAAGAGGAUGUACGAAGUAACUUCCAAUUUUUAUAAUAAAAUAACAAUUGAACAACGCAGGAUGAUAUCGCACGUAAUCAUCAUCAGAGGAGGUGAACGAGGCCAGGGACGGAACUACGUUUCGCUAGGAAGGGAUCGUGGAGUACUACUAACUAUAAUAGAUACUAGAGUAGAAUGAUUCGACCGAAAUAAAGAUAUUCAAACGCAUUUACUUCUUCUUCUUCUUCUAUGGGUCUACAUUCCAAGUGGAACCUGGCCCGCUUUUCAACUUGGUAUCCUUCACCAUUUUCUCAGUUAUAAUUUGAAAGCUUUUCUAUGCCCGCCAUUGCGUAAGUGUGUCUCCUAUUUGGCAAGUACAAUGGAUACAUUAUGCCCAAGCAAUCGAGAUUGUUUCCCACCUGAAAACAUACUAGACUGAACCGAAAAUCGAACUUGUUAACUCUUGAUUCGCAGUCCUACGCAUUCAG